rnacentral:rRNA from 1 species
CACGUAGGUGGCAUCGUAAGUCAAAGGUGAAAGCCCUCGGCUCAACCGAGGAAUUGCCUUUGAAACUGCUUUGCUUGAGUCCGGGAGGGGGGAGCGGAAUUCCCAGUGUAGCGGUGAAAUACGUAGAUACUGGGAGGAACACCGGUGGCGAAGGCGGCUCCCUGGACCGGUACUGACACUGAGGUGCGAAAGCGUGGGUAGCAAACAGGAUUAGAUACCCUGGUAGUCC